AAACCAACAGGGAUUGCCUCAGUAACGGCGAGUGAAGCGGCAAAAGCUCAAAUUUGAAACCCUCGGGAUUGUAAUUUGAAGAUGGCAUUGAGAAAGCUAACCCAAGUUGCUUGGAAUAGUACGUCAUAGAGGGUGACAACCCCGUCUGGCUAACCGUUCUCCAUGUAUUGCCUUAUCAAAGAGUCGAGUUGUUUGGGAAUGCAGCUCAAAGUGGGUGGUAAACUCCAUCUAAAGCUAAAUACUGGUGAGAGACCGAUAGCGAACAAGUACUGUGAAGGAAAGGUGAAAAGAACUUUGAAAAGAGAGUGAAAUAGUAUGUGAAAUUGUUGAUAGGGAAGGAAAUGAGUGGAGAGUGGCCGAGGUUUCAGCCGCCCCUCGUGGGCGGUGUACUGCCGACGCCGAGUCAUCGAUAGCGAGACGAGGGUUACAAAUGGGAGCGCCUUUCGGGCGUUCUCCCCUAACCCUCCACACUGCCACCGACGACAUAAUCCACCCAUUUCACCCGUCUUGAAACACGGACCA
rnacentral:rRNA from 1 species